UUAUCAGAUGCAGGGAAAAGGAAUACAGAACAAACAUGUCAGCCACAGAAACACCAGUACAGUCAACCUCUAAAACUACAGAGGCAGGCAGCAGAUGCACUUGCAGGGACAGGGACAGGUACAGUUUAUUCCCAAGAACCGUUAACAUUCAUGGACACCGUGGACAUCAUUCUGCUUGACAAGUGGCGGUCACAUACUCCCAUCUGGUGGCAAAGACCAGCAACUGCAGGCAAAAGGUCAGCGAACAAUGUUCUGUUCUUUGAGGCUUCAUUGUGAACAAGACGCAUAGUUAACGGUCAAGUAAUGGGAAAUUAGAAUUUAUUUUGUGGUUGAAAUGAAGCUUCAUGAAAUCCAAAAUAAUCUUUGGAAAAAAAUCCCUCUGCCAUGUCCAAAAGUACCAUUUGUGGAUAGUAAUUACGCUUAACACAUGUACUUAGGUACUUGUUUUCUAAUUUAUUUAAAUAAUUAUGCUUGAAAAAGUUUAAGAACGAUCACAAGUCAGAAUAUUCACAUUAACUUUUUAUUGUCAGGUCACCACCACAGGUUAUCAGAAUGAAUUUGGGAAUGUGAUACUUUCAUGAUAACUUUUGGAAUGUGUGAUGAUGUUAAGCUUUUCAAUACUCCUCUCCCUCUUCAUCCUCAUCACCCACGCUGUCAGUGCCGACUUCUUCAUAAUCCUUCUCCAGAGCAGCCAUAUCCUCUCUGGCCUCUGAGAACUCUCCCUCUUCCAUGCCUUCCCCAACAUACCAGUGCACAAAGGCCCUCUUGGCAUACAUGAGGUCAAACUUGUGGUCGAGACGGGCCCAGGCCUCAGCGAUUGCUGUAGUGUUGCUCAGCAUGCACACGGCCCUCUGCACCUUGGCCAGGUCACCACCAGGAACCACAGUUGGAGGCUGAUAGUUGAUGCCAACCUUGAAGCCAGUGGGGCACCAGUCCACAAACUGGAUGGUACGCUUGGUCUUGAUGGCUGCGAUGGCGGAGUUAACAUCUUUG